UACGUAGGUGACAAGCGUUGUCCGGAUUUAUUGGGCGUAAAGCGAGCGCAGGCGGUCUUUUAAGUCUGAUGUGAAAGCCCACGGCUCAACCGUGGAUGGUCAUUGGAAACUGGGAGACUUGAAUGCAGAAGAGGAAAGUGGAAUUCCAUGUGUAGCGGUGAAAUGCGUAGAUAUAUGGAGGAACACCAGUGGCGAAGGCGACUUUCUGGUCUGUAAUUGACGCUGAGGCUCGAAAGCGUGGGGAGCAAACAGG
rnacentral:rRNA from 2 species